GUGGCUGUGGCCAUUGAUUGACACAUUAAAUUCAUCCAUUGACUGGGACAAUUUACGUGAACGUUUGUCUGUAACAACCACUGUUCACGACGUACAUACGAUAGACAUUUAAACUGUGGGGUCACCAAAGGUUUCUUAACGCCUUUAAUUAUAAAAUAAUCCGAAAAAUUAAUCAGGAAUAACCUUUAUGUUUUGAUUUAUAUAAUUGAUAUAAAUCAAAACAUCGUGUUAUUUCUGAUUAAUUUUUCGAAUUACUUUAUUAAGGUGUUGAGAACCUUUGGUGACCCCAUAGUUUAAGUGUCUUUAAAAAGUACAUAGUGAGCAGUGGUCGUUACAUACAAACGUUCACCUAAAUUGUCGCAGUCAAUGGAUGAAAUUAAUGUGUCAAUCAAUGGCCACAGCCACACUGUUUUGAAUUUCAUUCUAUGAUACCCCCUUAAAAAAA
rnacentral:lncRNA from 1 species